rnacentral:rRNA from 1 species
GCAGUCGACGGUAAGGCCUCUUCGGGGGUACACGAGUGGCGAACGGGUGAGUAACACGUGAGUAACCUGCCCUUGACUUUGGGAUAACAUCUGGAAACAGGUGCUAAUACCGGAUAUGAGCCUGGUCUGCAUGGAUUGGGUUGGAAAGCUCCGGCGGUCAUGGAUGGACUCGCGGCCUAUCAGCUUGUUGGUGAGGUAAUGGCUCACCAAGGCUUCGACGGGUAGCCGGCCUGAGAGGGCGACCGGCCACAUUGGGACUGAGAUACGGCCCAAACUCCUACGGGAGGCAGCAGUGGGGAAUAUUGCACAAUGGGCGGAAGCCUGAUGCAGCAACGCCGCGUGCGGGAUGACGGCCUUCGGGUUGUAAACCGCUUUCAGCAGGGACGAAGCUUUUGUGACGGUACCUGCAGAAGAAGCACCGGCUAACUACGUGCCAGCAGCCGCGGUGAUACGUAGGGUGCGAGCGUUGUCCGGAUUUAUUGGGCGUAAAGAGCUUGUAGGCGGUUUGUCGCGUCGGGAGUGAAAACUCAGGGCUUAACCCUGAGCCUGCUUCCGAUACGGGCAGACUUGAGGAAGGUAGGGGAGAAUGGAAUUCCUGGUGAAGCGGUGGAAUGCGUAGAUAUCAGGAGGAACACCAGUGGCGAAGGCGGUUCUCUGGACCUUUCCUGACGCUGAGAAGCGAAAGCGUGGGGAGCAAACAGGCUUAGAUACCCUGGUAGUCCACGCCGUAAACGGUGGGUACUAGGUGUGGGGGACAUUCCACGUUCUCCGUGCCGCAGCUAACGCAUUAAGUACC